UCAAAUCUGUAGUGGUAUGCAUCUACAACGAAGCAUGAAUUCAACACCUUAACAUCGGACAUUUAGGUGGAAAUUGAAAUACACAAGCAGAAUCAGCAGGAAGGUCAACUUCUGCAGUUGCUCUUUAGAGAAUCCUGCACACAUUUGGCUCAUCAUACCACACAACCACAGAAUUGCAAGUGCUGCAACAUGCAGGCAAAGGUUUGCUUUCCUCCUGCUUAUCCUCCUCCUCCUCCUUGUCGGGUUCACGACCGCCACCGGCCUCUUCGCCUUCCUCAGGGCCUUCACGACGAGCACCACAUUGACGUCCCCCACCACCGUCACCGUGCUCUUCUCC
rnacentral:lncRNA from 1 species